rnacentral:rRNA from 1 species
UACGAAGGGUGCAAGCGUUACUCGGAAUUACUGGGCGUAAAGCGUGCGUAGGUGGUUGUUUAAGUCUGUUGUGAAAUCCCCGGGCUCAACCCGGGAACUGCGUCCGAUACUGGCAGGCUUGAAUCCGGGAGAGGGAUGCGGAAUUCCAGGUGUAGCGGUGAAAUGCGUAGAUAUCUGGAGGAACACCGGUGGCGAAGGCGGCAUCCUGGACCGGCAUUGACGCUGAGGCGCGAAAGCCAGGGGAGCAAACGGG